rnacentral:tRNA from 1 species
GCAGUGGUCGUUCAGUGGUAGAUUUCUCACCUCCCAUGUGGGAGACCUGGGUUCGAUUCCUGGCCAAUGCA